rnacentral:sRNA from 1 species
AGAAGUACUGGGCCCCCUUUGUGCUGAAUCUCUCUCAGUUUCAGCUCCUGUUCUCAAACUGCCUGUUGUGAUUUCCAGGGAAGUCAGAUACUUCAUACUGAUGUGGUUUACUUGCAUUGUGGACAAGGCUUCCGAGAGGCGGAGAAAAUAAAGAUGCUUUUGCUGAAUUUCAACUGCAGCACAGUAGUGAUUGGAAAUGGAACUGCCUGCCGGGAAACAGAAGCUUACUUUGCUGACCUGAUAAUGAAGAAUUAUUUUGCACCACUGGAUGUUGUUUACUGUAUCGUCAGUGAAGCAGGAGCAUCAAUCUACAGUGUCAGCCCUGAAGCUAACAAAGAGAUGCCAGGGCUGGACCCUAAUUUGAGAAGUGCAGCAUGACGUAUCCCAGACUUUACUCAAGGCAACACUGGACAGUGUUGUAGAAGAAUGUGUCAGCUUUGUGGGAGUGGAUAUUAACAUCUGUUCAGAAGUUUUGUUAAGGCAUAUUGCAGGACUCAAUGCCAACAGGGCCAAAAAUAUUAUUGAAUGGCGAGAGAAAAAUGGACCCUUUAUCAACCGAGAACAGCU